rnacentral:rRNA from 1 species
CUUGAAUAACCAUAAGAGGUCCAGCCUGCCCAGUGACCAUGUUCAACGGCCGCGGUAUCCUAACCGUGCGAAGGUAGCGUAAUCACUUGUUCUUUAAAUAAGGACUAGUAUGAACGGCAUCACGAAGGUUACACUGUCUCCUCUUUCUAAUCAGUGAAACUAAUCUCCUCGUGAAGAAACGAGGAUAAACAUAUAAGACGAGAAGACCCUAUGGAGCUUCAAACUAUAAAGCACCUGCCCCAAUAUUACUUAAUUCCAGAAAACCACACCCACCCAGGCAAGAUGACCUUUAGUUUUAGGUUGGGGUGACCGCGGAGCAAAAAAAAACCUCCACAUUGAAAGGAGCCAACUCCUUAGCCAAGAGCCACAUCUCUAAGCACCAACAAAAAGACAUCAAUUGACCCAAUAUUUUUGAUCAACGAAC